AAAUGCACUGAUACAUCAUUUAAUCCCCUUUACCUUGUUUAAUGACCCAAACAGACAUGGCAAAGGAACAGAAGGAUGGUGAUAUGAAGGCAGAAAUAUUUAGGGUGGAAGAACAAGGGAAGAGAGUUCAAGAAAACAGCCAGAAGCAUAAUACAAAACAGGAGCAAGAGACAAUGAAGUUAAAUAUGGGCAGAGAAAGAAUGGAAGAAGAGAUAAAGAUGAUGGAUGCAGAACAUGAUAAAGCCAAUAUGUCAAGGAGACUGGAAGAGAAGAGUAUGAGUGCUCUGGAAGAAGAAGAGGAGAAGAGGAGAGUAAAGGAGGAAGUUGAGACAGAGAUGGUGAAAGGACAUCCCUCCCCUGCAGAAAAGUUAGAGUCUGAUGAUAAAGUCUUGAGAGUUCCUGCAGAAUGUGAAAAAGAAGGAAAGAAAGGCAGGAAUAAAGGCAAGGAGAUCCUGACGG
ensembl:lncRNA